CCUACGGGUGGCAGCAGUGAGGAAUAUUGGUCAAUGGGCGGAAGCCUGAACCAGCCAAGUAGCGUGCGGGAUGAAGGCCCUAUGGGUCGUAAACCGCUUUUGCACGGGGAUAACACCCUCCACUUGUGCACGUCUGCAGGUUCCCCGCGAAUAAGGGCUGGCUAAUUCCGUGCCAGCAGCCGCGGUAAUACGGAAGGCCCGGGCGUUUUCCGGAUUUAUUGGGCUUAAAGGGAGCGUAGGCGGGCGUUUAAGUCAGCUGUAAAAUGGCGCGGCUCAACCGCGCCCCGCAGUUGAAACUGGGCGCCUUGAGUGCACAACAGGCAGGCGGAAUGCGUGGUGUAGCGGUGAAAUGCAUAGAUAUCACGAGGAACCCCGAUUGCGAAGGCAGCCUGCCGGGGUGCGACUGACGCUGAGGCUCGAAGGUGCGGGUAUCAAACAGGAUUAGAUACCCCGGUAGUC
rnacentral:rRNA from 1 species